UACGGGGGGGGCAAGCGUUGUUCGGAAUUACUGGGCGUAAAGGGCUCGUAGGCGGCCAACUAAGUCGGAUGUGAAAUCCCCAGGCUUAACCUGGGAACUGCAUCCGAUACUGGAUGGCUUGAAUCCGGGAGAGGGAUGCGGAAUUCCAGGUGUAGCGGUGAAAUGCGUAGAUAUCUGGAGGAAUACCGGUGGCGAAGGCGGCAUCCUGGACCGGCAUUGACGCUGAGGAGCGAAAGCGUGGGGAGCGAACAGG
rnacentral:rRNA from 1 species